rnacentral:rRNA from 1 species
UGAGGAAUAUUGCUCAAUGGGAGAAAUCCUGAAGCAGCAACGCCGCGUGGAGGAUGAAGGGUCUAUGACUUGUAAACUCCUGUAAAGAAGGAAAAAAUUCCCAUUAGAUGGGAGAUGAUGGUACUUCUGGAGUAAGCCCCGGCUAACUACGUGCCAGCAGCCGCGGUAAUACGUAGGGGGCAAGCGUUGUCCGGAUUUACUGGGUGUAAAGGGUGCUCAGGCGGAUUUGUAAGUCAGAGGUGAAAUCUUACAGCUUAACUGUGAAACUGCCUUUGAUACUGCAAGCCUAGAGUAUGGAAGAGAGUGAUGGAAUAUCUGGUGUAGCAGUGAAAUGCGUAGAUAUCAGAUAGAACACCAAUGGCGAAGGCAGUCACUUGGUCCAUUACUGACGCUAAAGCACGAAAGCGUGGGUAGCAAACA